UUUGCGGUGCGGAGCGGGCGAGCAAAGAGCGCAGAUGCCAGGCCCCACGUAGGUGCAGGCGGGUGGCAGGGCUGGGGCCAGGUGAGCGGGUGGAGAACCAGCGUUCCAGCAUGUGGGGCCCCCGCAGGGAUCCAGCAACUGACAACUGCAGGGACGGAGCUGAGCAGAGACAGAGAAAGAGAGAAGUGGGCAGAGAGGCAUGUGGGGUGCGGAGGAACUUCCCUGACACUCGCCAGAGCCCGGAUCCCCCUUCCCGUGCCAGGAUGCUGCUCCCUCUGCUGCUCCUCCCCUGGGCAUGGGGGAGCUUGGCCACCUCCCCUUCUCUCCCCACCCUCCGGCUGCUCCAAAUCCUCGUCUUCCACAACGCCAGCUCCACGGACAUGGAGGGGAUGGCCCUGCUGGGCGACCUGGAGACCCACUCCAUGGAUUGCAGCACCUGCGAGAUCCGCUGCCUGCAGCCCUGGGCCCAGCAGGGCCUGACCCCGAAGCAGUGGCAGGACCUGGAGCUGCUGAUCCAUCGCUACCUGUUCAACUUCAACCGUACUGUGAACAGAAUAGCUCAGCAGCACGGAAUGGGCUACCCCUUUGUUACCCAGGGCUCCCUCGGCUGCGAGCUGCACCCUAACGGCACCUCGAGGGGAUUCUAUGAUGCCGGAGUGAACGGCGAGGACUUCAUCAGCUUUGAUGCGGACGCAGGCACCUGGCUUGCUCGGCACGGGGACAAGCUGGCGCUCUACACCCAGGACCUUCUCAACCUGGAUAAGGGCACAGCCAUCACGCUUCAGUUUCUCAUGAGAACGACGUGUGUCAAUCAGAUCAAGAGCUUUGUCCAGCAUGGGAAAGAGUCUCUGGAGAGGCAAGAGCGGCUGGUCGCCGUGGUGUUUGCCCGAGCGCCUCCCCCAGCCGGGACCCCCGCGCCGUUACUGCUGGUUUGCCGGGUCACCGGUUUCUACCCCCGGCCCAUCCGCGUGGCCUGGCUGCAGGACGGGGAGGAGGUGGUGCCGGGCGGGCGGCUGAACUCCAGUGGGAUCCUGCCCAACGCGGACCUGACCUACCAGCUGCGCAGCUCCCUGGCCGUGGAGCCGGGCAACAGGCACAGCUACGCCUGCCGGGUGGAGCACAGCAGCCUGGGGGGCCAGAGCCUGCUGAUCCCCUGGGGGCAGAGCAGGCGGUGGGGCCCCGGCCUGGCCGUGGGCAUCACCCUGGGGGUUCUGGCCGUAGCUGCCGUGGCCGUGGUGCUGUGGAGGAGCAGAUGCAGGUUGCAGGAAAGAGCUCGUGGAUCCACCACAACUACGUCAAAGCAGCGACAGCGCCUCCCCAGGACCCGAGUGAUCCAGCGUACGAGCCAUUCUACGGAUGAAUAUUACAGCCAGCCCAUGGACCGAGCCUUCCAAUUACUGGGAUCUUCGCAGCCCACCAGGACUUCUUGUAUUUCUCUUUUGGACUCGUAUAUUGGGAAUGGGGGUUUUCGUAUGGUACCGGGGAGGAUGUCGUUAUUGGUAUGGCUGGCCUGGGGGUUCUUCCCCCUAUUCCCGAAUCCAGUACAAGGGUGGGCGGGUAAUAGUUUUUUGAAUUUGACUCGGGCUAUUACGCAAAAUAUAAAUCAAACACAAUGUUGGAUAUGUAUCCAUACCCCCACAUAUAUUAGUCAGGGAAUUCCAUUGGUGGGGGUCCCUAUCCCUACUAAUGGAACGCAUUUGUCUACAUUAUGGGCUAAUACUACCUUUCAUUGGAAUAUCACUAUUCAAACAUGGUCUAUCGACAUGGUGGCCCAGGGCAAUUAUGCAAUAUGUGUAAAACGCAGGUGGAGAAAUAGGAAUUUUAAAAAUGGGAAUUUUGUAGGAACUUUUAUGGGGUGCAACCGCACUAUAAAAAUUAGUUCUGGGGUGGCAACCGUUUCAAAUUAUUCAAGAGCCCCUUGGCCAGUCCCUGAAGGAUCAGGUUGAAAUUGGUUAUGUAACCACACAGCCUAUAAGGUUCUUCCAGUGGGAUGGUAUGGUACCUGCACCCUAGGAGCAAUAAUCCCUGCUGUAACAGUUUAUCAGAGUCUAACACAAAAAGAAAUUCGCAAUAUAGUAUGGAGGAAUCGGCAAAGUAUCCCUUUAAAUCCCCUCAUCGAGCGGCCCACGGGUUUUCAUUCCUUUGCACGCUGGUUUCUGCCAUGGUUAGAAGUAAGUGAGCUAGAAAAAGCUAUAGUUAAUAUUUCUGCUGCCUUAGAGCAGAUGGCCAACGCCACUGCGGAUGCUUUAUCUACCCUCCAAACCGAAGUCACACAAUUAUCUCAAACAACCUUGCAAAAUCGUUUAGCAUUAGAUUACCUCCUCGCUAACCAGGGUGGGGUAUGCGCUCUAGUUAACUCCAGCUGUUGUGUUUUCGUAAAUCAACACCAUAGGGUAGAGACUGACAUCCAUAUCCUCAAGCAACAGGCGACUUUAUUUCAUCACAUCAGUCUUGAUAAUACCAGUACUGGAUUUCAGGAAGUGUGAAAUUGGCUCACAUCAUGGAUGCCGGAUCUCGGGGUCUGGGGAAGGCGUGCUCUGUACAUAUUCAUAUGGGUUGCUGUUUUCUUUGCCGUGUUAUUUGUAUGCCUUCAAUGCUGUAAAAUGUGUUGUUUGCAGUUAUUAGUCCUUCAUCGUGGUUACUCAGCCCCUAUAUAGUGUUAACUGACGUACAAAAAAAAAAGUUGUUGAGGGGAAAGUUAAUAUGUGUAUUUUGCAGAGCUUAUUUUUGCAGAGCUGGCACCCUUUGGCUCCAGCCACUGUCUGUGCAGCACAGACGGCAGCAUAUUUGGGGAAUUGUUUCGGGCCUGGAAACUGUUGUCCUUCCUGUUUUGUGGUAUGUGAAGCACGUUGUGUAACAGCAUGUUCCGUUUUAAUGAUAAAGUUGUUGACGUGCUCAGAACACGAGAAAGCACUCGCCAGAGAGUGGCUAAGGAUGGGGUGGGGAUGAAAUUCAUUGGUUAGGGGUGCCGAUGCACAAGGGCAGCACGCGAUGUCAGAUGGUAUAUAAGCUUUGCAUAAACUGUAUACGGGGUCCCCUCCUGACUAGCGGGAGGGCACCACGCUCAAGCGUAAUGCAUUAAACAUUGACUAGAAACUCUGCAGAUGUGGACCUGGUUUUUGGUGCCUCAGCCUAAGACUUGGACUGUGCGUGACCGAUCAGGGGCUAUGAGGACGUUAGACCAGGGGAGUCCAGGGCCUGAGGGGGCGGCACCAGCCCAGGCGUGGGCAUUGGCCCCUCUCCUGGGGACAUGGACCUGUGCCAUGCUCUAAGCGAUUUGUCCUGA